CCUANGGGAGGCUGCAGUUAAGAAUCUUGCACAAUGGGCGAAAGCCUGAUGCAGCGACGCCGCGUGAGCGAUGAAGGCCUUCGGGUUGUAAAGCUCUUUUCUGGGAGAAGAAACCGCCGGUUAAUAGCCGGUACAUGACGGUAACCCAGGAAUAAGCCUCGGCUAAUUACGUGCCAGCAGCCGCGGUAAUACGUAAGAGGCAAGCGUUGUCCGGAAUCACUGGGCGUAAAGCGCGUGUAGGUGGCUUGAUAAGUCGGAUGUGAAAUCCCCGGGCUCAACCCGGGAACUGCGUCCGAAACUGUCUGGCUGGAGAACAGGAGAGGAGAGUGGAAUUCCGGGUGUAGCGGUGAAAUGCGUAGAUAUCCGGAGGAACACCAGUGGCGAAGGCGGCUCUCUGGCCUGUUUCUGACACUGAGACGCGAAAGCGUGGGGAGCGAACGGGAUUAGAUACCCCANUANUC
rnacentral:rRNA from 1 species